rnacentral:rRNA from 1 species
GGGCCAGUAGGUUGGUCGUGCCACCGGUACGUACUGGUCUCACUGAUUCCUCCUUCCUGAAGAACCGUAAUGCCAUUAAUUUGGUGUUGCGGGGAAACAGGACUGUUACUUUGAAAAAAUUAGAGUGUUUAAAGCAAGCUAACGCUUGAAUACAUUAGCAUGGAAUAAUGAAAAAGGACGAUCGAUCCUAUUUUGUUGGUUUCUAGGAUUGACGUA